rnacentral:lncRNA from 1 species
AGAUUUAUGGGAUGAUGUGAGAGUGGUCCAAUUUCUUAGGGACCAGUUGUUGGUAUGCUGGCCACUGGCCUGGGCAUUUCACAUUGAAGGUAAUGAUUAUGUUGGGUCUCACUGGCUUAUUUCCGAAAAGGGCAGGGUAUGUUCUUGAGGGAAGCAGUCUUUCUUUGUUCCUGGUGGAACAAAUAAGCACAGGACUAGCUAAAAAACUAAGUAAAGCAUGGGUGUAGUGACAAUGGGCACAUUGAAUGAGUUUCUUAUCUUUGCAGGUCUGAUCUUCUGGACCUGGAUGAGUCUUACUCUCUUACCCACUGAGUCAGGUGGACAGGUUGGAGGAAAACAGCCUCCAUGAUCUAGUGAACUGCUAGACAAGGUCAAUGCUAAAGAAACAUGCCUGUGCCUCCUCUGACCCACAGUGGAGUGCAGAAACAGGCAAAGACAGGAUUCUAUGCACAAGUGCACUCUUGCUCCAUCCUUGUUCUCCUCCUUUCUUUCUCCUGAAGACACUUAAGAGUGCCACUUACUGUGCCAGUUGGAUGUGCUGAUCAGCUAUCUUUUCUACUUCACUGAUUUCUUAAGGCCAAGAGACUAAGAUUUCCUCAGAAAUCAUGAAAGAUUUAGAAUGAGACAUGCCAGGGUUUGAAUCCUAACAGUAUCACUUAUUUGCUGCGUGACCUUGGCCAAUAAUUUAAACUCUCUGAGCCUUUGAUUCCAUGUCAUAAAAAAGAAAUAAUGUUAUCCUAUAUUGGCUUGUGAUGAAAAUGAACUGAGAUAAUGCUGUAAGACGUCUAGGGAAGUCUUAGUCCUGGUAAGUGGUCAGUAAACAGUAGUUUGGUCCCCUUCCUUGGCAAAACACUGGGACAUUGUGAACAUUUUUUAAGGGUCUGUUGUGUUAGAUAUUAGUGUUACUCUACAGUAUUUCUGAGUCUGUUCUGCUUCUGGGCACAUGGGAGAAUUGCAUUUCCCUCACCCCUUUAAGGUACUCAUGGCAGUAUGACUUGAUCUAACGAAUGCGAUGUAAGUAGAAGUCUUUAAGAACUCAAGUGUGAGUCUCCAUGACUCUUGUUCUCUGCCAAGGGAAUUGCAAAAUACUGUUGAUGUAAUGGCACCGUAAAAUGGAAAUCCGGGAACACCGAUCUAGCACAUGGAGGACCGUUGCUCCGUAGGUCUGCCCAGACCACACUCAUGGUAGACUUUAUGUGAUUAAGAAACAAAUCACCUAUAUCAGUAUUGGGAGAAAGAACAAAUUCCCCAAAACUAGUCCAGUCCUUCUCUGCUGACAGACCAGCAGGGUGAUGAUACAUGGUUGAAGGAAGGUACACACUGGGACUGAGAGGUGGUUUGUUACCGAAGCAUCAUCUAAACUCUUCUGACUGAUACGUAUACAGAGAUGUAUAAGAUGAAUCCGAAAAUGCUGCAAUAUAAAAACAAGAGCUCUGGGAGUUCCUUCUGUGGUGCAAUGGGUUAAAGAUCUGGUGUUGCUGCAGCUGUGGCAUAGGUCACAGCUGAGGCCUGGAUUCAAUCCCUGGCCUGGGAACUUCCGUAUGCCUUGGGUGUGGCCAUAAAAAAAUAAAAUAAUAAAAACAAAAGUUCGGAUAGAGGAAUGUUCAAAGUAAUGCAGGCCACCGAGAAGGGAGCCCCUGAUUCUGCUGGACUUGGCGAGGAGAGAACCAGAGAGGAGGUGGCAUUGGAGGGGACUGUGAGAGACAAAAGAGAGGGUCAAAUGAAAAGAUCUAAAGAACAAUGAUAGGUUCCCUACGUGGGAAGGGACAGCUGAACAGAGGCAGUGUGGGCAAAGGCACAGUAAAACGUCAUCGUGUCUUCUAGGACAAAGAAGAGCUAGCCUUCCUGGUAAACUUGUCCCCAGUUAAAGUUUGCCAUGUAGAACAUCAUUUCAUAGAACCUGCAAUACUUACUCGAUACAAUGCUUUCUACUAAUACUUAUAUAGGGAAAAUAUUAGGUAUAUGUUCCCCAAACUCCAUGCAUUUUUAAAUGAAGUGAUGAGGGACAGAGCUCAACAGAGAAAGUCUUUAGGUUUGUUCCAAAUAUAAUUGGUAGCAUAUCAGCGUUCACAGAAGACAACUGGAAAGUCUCUGAAUAUCAACUAAGGGGACCUAUAGCAUGUUAUGUAGAUAAAGUAGCCAUAUUAGUGGUUUAGGGACAAGAAGUAUGGUUUUAAAUAUUUUGCAUCCUUAUUUUUCCACAGUUUAUUGGAUAAAUAAACACAGAAAUAUCUAUUUUAAAAAAUUUUACAACCUGUAAGCUUGUUGCUUAUAUAUAGGCAUUUUACUGUGUUUUAUGUUUUGGAAAGUUGUUUGAGGAUUUUGAAUUUAGAUGUAAUACACUAAAACUUUGCCAUUUAAAAUAAUGGAAAUGGGGCUCCCAGUUGGCGUUUUCUUGCAAACAUUCAGUGAGAGAUGCCUGAAUUUCUGAAUGGCGGGGCUUGGAGGGGACAGAGGUCUAACCCGAGAAGGAGCUAGACCUGAGACAGCAGUGAGAUAGAGGUUUAUGCUCAGCAGUGACAUAUGGACAUGAGUUUAUUUUAUCAAUAGCCCUGACCUGACAGGUGUGGAGAGAGCCUGAGGUCGGGGACUGGUGAUCGCUGAGUCUAGAUGACAGGCAAGGGCCUCAGGUGAGGCAGCAGCGAUGGAAAGGGGAGUUGGAGAGGCAUUUCAGAGGCUGAACGGUGGAUGGAAGGGCACAGAGGCUAAAUAAAAGUCAGGGAGGUUUCCAGAUAGGUGAUGGGAAGGUAGUCAUGGUUAUAUGAGCCAAAUAGGGAACCUCAAAAGAAGAAGAGAAAGAAGGACAAGGAGGAACAGCCGCAGGCUUCAGGGGCUGAGGGUGGAUGACAAAGAGGGCCUUUGGAGUUCCCGUCGUGGCGCGUGGUUAACGAAUCCGACUAGGAACCAUGAGGUUGCGGGUUCGAUCCCUGCCCUUGCUCAGUGGGUUAACGAUCCGGCGUUGCCGUGAGCUGUGGUGUAGGUUGCAGACGCGGCUCGGAUCCCGCGUUGCUGUGGCUCUGGCGUAGGCCGGUGGCUACAGCUCCGAUUCAACCCCUAGCCUGGGAACCUCCAUAUGCCGCGGGAGCGGCCCAAGAAAUAGCAACAAUAACAACAAC